UACGUAGGGUGCGAGCGUUAAUCGGAAUUACUGGGCGUAAAGCGUGCGCAGGCGGUUCGUUGUGUCUGGUGUGAAAGCCCCGGGCUCAACCUGGGAAUGGCAUUGGAAACUGGCGAGCUAGAGUGUGGCAGAGGGGGGUGGAAUUCCGCGUGUAGCAGUGAAAUGCGUAGAGAUGCGGAGGAACACCGAUGGCGAAGGCAGCCCCCUGGGCUGACACUGACGCUCAGGCACGAAAGCGUGGGGAGCAAACAGG
rnacentral:rRNA from 1 species